rnacentral:lncRNA from 1 species
UAUAUAAUUUUUAACAUAAAAAAUUAAAUUAGAUCUAAUUUUUAUCAUAAAAAAUUAGAGAAGAAAAAUUCUUCUUAAGGGUGUGAAAGGAAGAGAAAAAGGUUCUUUCUUGUGCAUAGAAAAUUGAGAAGGAUUCUUCUCUUGAUCUCUAUUGUAGAGAUCGGAUACAUAGAUUCAAGAAGAAAAGAAGAGGAUCUCUUUAUUCUUCAAUUUCAUCAUAUUCCUCUCAAAUCAGUCAAUAGAUGGUGUCUUCGCAAGCUAGCACUCUCAGA